rfam:Oryza barthii chromosome 6, whole genome shotgun sequence.
AAUAAGUGUAAUUUUAGCACUGUUCAUGUUCAACGUUUGACCGUUUGUCUUAUUUGAAAAAAGAUUAUGUUUAUUAUUUUUAUUGUUAUUAGAUGAUAAAACAUGAAUAGUACUUUAUGUGUGACUAGUUUUUUUUAAUAUUUUUUAUAAAUUUUUUAAAUAAGACGGAUGGUCAAAGCGCUAAACACGGAUAUCUAUGGCUGUACUUAUU